rnacentral:rRNA from 1 species
CCUACGUGAGGCAGCAGUGGGGAAUAUUGCGCAAUGGGCGAAAGCCUGACGCAGCGACGCCGCGUGAGGGAUGAAGGUCUUCGGAUCGUAAACCUCUGUCAGCAGGGAAGAACGGUCACUGUGCUAAUCAGCAGUGAAUUGACGGUACCUGCACAGGAAGCACCGGCUAACUCCGUGCCAGCAGCCGCGGUAAUACGGAGGGUGCGAGCGUUAAUCGGAAUUACUGGGCGUAAAGCGCUCGUAGGCGGUAUGUCAAGUCAAGGGUGAAAUCCCCGCGCUCAACGUGGGAACUGCCUUUGAAACUGGCAAACUGGAGUGUGUGAGAGGAUAGUGGAAUUCCAGGUGUAGGAGUGAAAUCCGUAGAGAUCUGGAGGAACAUCAGUGGCGAAGGCGACUAUCUGGCACAUAACUGACGCUGAGGAGCGAAAGCGUGGGUAGCAAACAGGAUUAGAUACCCCAGUAGUC